rnacentral:rRNA from 1 species
CAAGGAAUUUUCCCCAAUGGGCGCAAGCCUGAGGGAGCAACGCCGCGUGGAGGACGACGGCCUUCGGGUUGUAAACUCCUUUCGGGUGGGACGAUGCUGACGGUACCACCAGAAGCAGCCCCGGCUAACUCUGUGCCAGCAGCCGCGGUAAGACAGAGGGGGCAAGCGUUGUCCGGAGUUACUGGGCGUAAAGGGCGCGCAGGCGGUGGG